CAGUAGCCGCGGGAAUACAGAGGAUGCAAGCGUUAUCCGGAAUGAUUGGGCGUAAAGCGUCUGUAGGUGGCUUUUCAAGUCCGCCGUCAAAUCCCAGGGCUCAACCCUGGACAGGCGGUGGAAACUACCAAGCUGGAGUACGGUAGGGGCAGAGGGAAUUUCCGGUGGAGCGGCGAAAUGCGUUGGGAUCGGAAAGAACACCAACGGCGAAAGCACACUGCUGGGCCGACACUGACACUGAGAGACGAAAGCUAGGGGAGCAAAUGGGAUUAGAUACCCGGGUAGUCCCUGUCUCUUAUAC
rnacentral:rRNA from 1 species